GACGAACGCUGGCGGCGUGCCUAAUACAUGCAAGUCGAGCGAUGAUUAAAGAUAACUUGCUAUUUUUAUGAAGAGCGGCGAACGGGUGAGUAACGCGUGGGAAAUCUGCCGAGUAGCGGGGGACAACGUUUGGAAACGAACGCUAAUACCGCAUAACAAUGAGAAUCGCAUGAUUCUUAUUUGAAAGAAGCAAUUGCUUCACUACUUGAUGAUCCCGCGUUGUAUUAGCUAGUUGGUAGUGUAAAGGACUACCAAGGCGAUGAUACAUAGCCGACCUGAGAGGGUGAUCGGCCACACUGGGACUGAGACACGGCCCAGACUCCUACGGGAGGCAGCAGUAGGGAAUCUUCGGCAAUGGGGGCAACCCUGACCGAGCAACGCCGCGUGAGUGAAGAAGGUUUUCGGAUCGUAAAACUCUGUUGUUAGAGAAGAACGUUAAGUAGAGUGGAAAAUUACUUAAGUGACGGUAUCUAACCAGAAAGGGACGGCUAACUACGUGCCAGCAGCCGCGGUAA
rnacentral:rRNA from 1 species